GACGAACGCUGGCGGCGUGCCUAAUACAUGCAAGUAGAACGCUGAAGAGAGGAGCUUGCUCUUCUUGGAUGAGUUGCGAACGGGUGAGUAACGCGUAGGUAACCUGCCUGGUAGCGGGGGAUAACUAUUGGAAACGAUAGCUAAUACCGCAUAAAAUUGAUUAUUGCAUGAUAAUUGAUUGAAAGAUGCAAUUGCAUCACUACCAGAUGGACCUGCGUUGUAUUAGCUAGUUGGUGAGGUAACGGCUCACCAAGGCGACGAUACAUAGCCGACCUGAGAGGGUGAUCGGCCACACUGGGACUGAGACACGGCCCAGACUCCUACGGGAGGCAGCAGUAGGGAAUCUUCGGCAAUGGGGGGAACCCUGACCGAGCAACGCCGCGUGAGUGAAGAAGGUUUUCGGAUCGUAAAGCUCUGUUGUAAGAGAAGAACGGGUGUGAGAGUGGAAAGUUCACACUGUGACGGUAUCUUACCAGAAAGGGACGGCUAACUACGUGCCAGCAGCCGCGGUAAUACGUAGGUCCCGAGCGUUGUCCGGAUUUAUUGGGCGUAAAGCGAGCGCAGGCGGUUAGAUAAGUCUGAAGUUAAAGGCUGUGGCUUAACCAUAGUAUGCUUUGGAAACUGUUUAACUUGAGUGCAGAAGGGGAGAGUGGAAUUCCAUGUGUAGCGGUGAAAUGCGUAGAUAUAUGGAGGAACACCGGUGGCGAAAGCGGCUCUCUGGUCUGUAACUGACGCUGAGGCUCGAAAGCGUGGGGAGCAAACAGGAUUAGAUACCCUGGUAGUCCACGCCGUAAACGAUGAGUGCUAGGUGUUAGGCCCUUUCCGGGGCUUAGUGCCGCAGCUAACGCAUUAAGCACUCCGCCUGGGGAGUACGACCGCAAGGUUGAAACUCAAAGGAAUUGACGGGGGCCCGCACAAGCGGUGGAGCAUGUGGUUUAAUUUGAAGCAACGCGAAGAACCUUACCAGGUCUUGACAUCCCUCUGACCGCUCUAGAGAUAGAGUUUUCCUUCGGGACAGAGGUGACAGGUGGUGCAUGGUUGUCGUCAGCUCGUGUCGUGAGAUGUUGGGUUAAGUCCCGCAACGAGCGCAACCCCUAUUGUUAGUUGCCAUCAUUGAGUUGGGCACUCUAGCGAGACUGCCGGUAAUAAACCGGAGGAAGGUGGGGAUGACGUCAAAUCAUCAUGCCCCUUAUGACCUGGGCUACACACGUGCUACAAUGGCUGGUACAACGAGUCGCAAGCCGGUGACGGCAAGCUAAUCUCUGAAAGCCAGUCUCAGUUCGGAUUGUAGGCUGCAACUCGCCUACAUGAAGUCGGAAUCGCUAGUAAUCGCGGAUCAGCACGCCGCGGUGAAUACGUUCCCGGGCCU
rnacentral:rRNA from 1 species